GACCACACACACUUUGGAGGCAGGAUCAAGUUAGCUAACAACUUGUAGCCAGCUGGAGUUAGCUAACGGCAGCUCGUUUUAUUUGUAUUUUGUUUAACCUUUAUUUAACUAGGCAAGUCAGUUAAGAAUAAAUGUGUAUUUACAAUGACGGCCUACCCCGGCCAAACACGGACGACUCUGGGCCAAUUGUGCGCCGCCCAUGGGACACCCAAUCACGGACGGAUGUGAUACAGCCUAGGUAACGUCAUAACUCUGUUAGGGUGGGUAUAAUUUGGAACGUUCCAACAGGAAAUCUGUUCUAAAAAAGUAAAGUACAAAGUUGCCAACAAUCAACGCAUACAAAGUAGCACGAUCAACUCACCACGUAGCUUAUUCUCAAUGUUUGUCUAUGGGCUACCAGAGUGAGGACAGACAUUUUCGGAAUAAACGUGAUCUUUCCUGGAGUUGAAACUGCUCUGAGGAAGAGGUCCACAAGUGGUUGAAAGACUUCCAGAGAACAUCAGAUUUGACUUGGAGAAAAAGGGUACUUCUGGCUGAAGUGGACAACAACACAUGUUGUGGUGCAAUAAUGUACUUCAUCCCGAAGAGGUUGAUUCAUUCGCAACGAAGAGAAUCAAGAUCUCCAUAUGAAAGGAGGUUGCCUCUUUCAUGGGCGUUUACGGAAUGGCGACAACCACAGUCUGACAAGUGCUGAGGUGCUGAAGAGGAGAAAUGUGUCAGCGGACACCAUUGAGAAAUUGACAAAGCUGUUUGAAAUAGUCCACUCUCUUUCAUCAGCUCUAAACAUGAUCAAAUAGGAGUUGCAAGUGGAGUAUGGAGACAACCAUGUGCAUGCCUCUGUGGACUCCUCCAUUUGCCCCAGCUUCAAUUCUGCUACAAGUCAGUUGCUUGACACACUUGAUCUGCUGAUUCAUACAGUGUAUUUAAAUGUUAUCACCAGAAAUCAUUUGCUUUAGGUGUGUUCCUCAUUUGUCCAUUACAGAUUAUACCACAAGCUUUUCAAAGAAGCAUGGGUUGCAAUCGUAUGUAGAGAACAAGAUUGAUGAUUCUCAUGAGAAUCUGGAUAACUGCAAUGAAGAAGAAUGUUCACCAGAAUGUUAUGUUUUCGACUGUGGCAACGUGUCUGAGGACACUGUUGUAAUCGAGUGUGCUCCCGUUUCUGAUGUAAACGGCUCAGGUACAUCUGGAAAACCAGCUGAGGGGGCGACGUUAGAGGAAGACUGGAUGGAGAUCUUUGAAGACCUCAAAAAGAAGAUGAGGGAGGAUCUUGUGUGUUUCAGGCCUAAAGUAGCAUCCUUUGUUUCCAGCUUCAAGAAGAUUAAAACAGACAGUGAACUCAUAGCCGCUCUAUCAAACUUUGGCAAAACCAACCCUGGACCAACAGCAAAGUUUCGCCAGGGACACGCACGCCCCGCAAAGAGCUCCAUAGGAGAGUGUGGACAUGGCACAUGCUGCUGGAAGAGGAAGGCACCCAAUUGAAUGUCUGUGUGUGGAAUAGCACAUGGACAUUGGGAGUACUACACAAAAUAAGCAAGUCAACAUCAGUGGCCCCAUGUGCCCAUCAUCCAACUGCUCACCAUCUGUGACCUUCAGUGCACUAGCGCUCUGCCCUCAAACACCCCCCAUCUGCCUACCACCUUUAUGUCAACUCCGCCUUGUACAAAACCAGUGGCUAUUUCAAUGCAUUGUGGCCUCUACAACACUAGAAUCAGUGGCUAUUUCAGUAUUGCAUUCUUGCCUUUUGGUUUUACGUUCAUUCAAUGCAAGACGUUUCUGCAAUUUCAUAUGUUUUGGAAAUUGAUUCCAUGUUUAUGGACCAUCAGACUUUAAAAAGCUGUUCUUCCAACCCAGUUGUAGAUCUACAGGCCUAUACUAUCACUGAACCAAAACAGUAGUUGUCAUGACUUUGCCGAGUCUUAAAUAUAAAAUGCUUAUUUAUAUUUUUUUAUAUACUGGUGUACGCUACCAUUAAAAAGUUUGGGGUCAUUUAGAAAUGUCCUUGUUUUUGAAAGAAAAGCCCCAUUAAAAUAACAUCAAAUUGAUCAGAAAUGCAGUGUAGACAUUGUUUAUGUUAUAAAUGACUUUUUAUUGUUGUUUUUUUAAUAGAAUAUCUACAUAGGCGUACAGGCCCAUUAUCAGCAACCAUCACUCCUGUGUUCCAAUGGCAUGUUGUUUUAGCUAAUCCAAGUUUAUCAUUUUAAAAGGUUCAUUGAUUAUUGCGUCAUCCGAAACAUGACCCGCCAGACCGCACUUCUUAACACCCACCUGCCAGCCACACCAAUGUAUCGGAGGAAACACUGUUCAACUCACUGUUCAACUACCGGGUCAGCCUGCAAGCACCAGGCCUGCCACAAGGAAUCGCUAGAGUGCAAUGAGCUUAGUAAAGCCCCCCCCCCGGCCAAACCCUCCCCUAAUAUGAUCACGGCCGGGUUGUGAUACAGCCUGGGAUCAAACCCGGGUCUGUAGUGACGCCUCUAGCACGGCAAUGCAGUGCCUUAGACUGCGGUGCAACUCGGGAGGCCUUAUAUAUAUAUUAUAUAUGUAUGUGUGUGUGUAUGGUAUGUGGACAUUAGGACUUGGUUAGUAAAUGUAAAAAUGUAGCAUUACAGUAAAUGUGUACAGAAAAUAAGUUGGC
ensembl:lncRNA